UACGGAGGAUCCAAGCGUUAUCCGGAAUCAUUGGGUUUAAAGGGUCCGUAGGCGGUUUAAUAAGUCAGUGGUGAAAGCCCAUCGCUCAACGGUGGAACGGCCAUUGAUACUGUUAAACUUGAAUUAUUAGGAAGUAACUAGAAUAUGUAGUGUAGCGGUGAAAUGCUUAGAGAUUACAUGGGAUACCAAUUGCGAAGGCAGGUUACUACUAAUGGAUUGACGCUGAUGGACGAAAGCGUGGGUAGCGAACAGG
rnacentral:rRNA from 1 species